CCCACAGCAUCGGUCGCCGCCAACUUCACCUCCGCCACCCCGUCCCCCUCUGCCACCGCCCCCGCCGAAGCACCCGCUCUCCCUUUGGCGUCCGACGGGCGGAGGACCGGCAGCGGCGGCGCCUCCUCGGGGGAGGCGGUGCUGAGCGGCGUGCCGCUUCCGCCUCCCUUCUCCUGCCAGAAGAAUCCGGUGACCAUGAUGAAGGACUUGAUGUUGGGCACAAAGAAAAACCACGGCAAGACUACAAAGCAUCUGAGGGACUAUUCACGAUCUCUGCCGGAGUCUGACCGAGUCCAGUGACCUCACCUAACGAGCACCCGCGGGGAUGGAGAGAUGACACCUGGCUCUUCCUCUCCUGCAAAGGCAACAUCUUGCGUCCAGCCUCUUCCCUCACCUCCUGCUGAUCAUAUAUCAACUCCUGGCUCACCUCCAACGUCAUGAAAUUAAACAGUGACAAAACGGAAAUUCUCCUCAUUGGCACCAAAUACGUGAUCGGAAGUUGACAUGUUUUGCGUUCCAGUCGGCCUCUGCUUGGUUCCCCCUUCUCUUGAGGUUCAAAGUCUGGAUGUUCGAAUGAAAGUCUUACUAU